rnacentral:rRNA from 1 species
GUGGGGAAUAUUGGACAAUGGGCGAAAGCCUGAUCCAGCCAUGCCGCGUGAGUGAUGAAGGCCUUAGGGUUGUAAAGCUCUUUCAGUAGGGAAGAUAAUGACGGUACCUACAGAAGAAGCCCCGGCUAACUUCGUGCCAGCAGCCGCGGUAAUACGAAGGGGGCUAGCGUUGUUCGGAUUUACUGGGCGUAAAGCGCACGUAGGCGGUUUGUUAAGUCAGAGGUGAAAUCCCGGAGCUCAACUCCGGAACUGCCUUUGAUACUGGCAAGCUAGAGUCCGGAAGAGGUAAGUGGAACUCCUAGUGUAGAGGUGGAAUUCGUAGAUAUUAGGAAGAACACCAGUGGCGAAGGCGGCUUACUGGUCCGGAACUGACGCUGAGGUGCGAAAGCGUGGGGAGCAAACAGGAUUAGAAACCCUAGUAGUCC